GAUGAACGCUGGCGGCGUGCCUAAUACAUGCAAGUCGAGCGAACAGAUGAGGAGCUUGCUCCUCUGACGUUAGCGGCGGACGGGUGAGUAACACGUGGAUAACCUACCUAUAAGACUGGGAUAACUUCGGGAAACCGGAGCUAAUACCGGAUAAUAUAUUGAACCGCAUGGUUCAAUAGUGAAAGACGGUUUUGCUGUCACUUAUAGAUGGAUCCGCGCCUCAUUAGCUAGUUGGUAAGGUAACGGCUUACCAAGGCAACGAUGCGUAGCCGACCUGAGAGGGUGAUAGGCCACCCUGGAACUGAGACACGGUCCAGACUCCUACGGGAGGCAGCAGUAGGGAAUCUUCCGCAAUGGGCGAAAGCCUGACGGAGCAACGCCGCGUGAGUGAUGAAGGUCUUCGGAUCGUAAAACUCUGUUAUUAGGGAAGAACAAAUGUGUAAGUAACUAUGCACGUCUUGACGGUACCUAAUCAGAAAGCCACGGCUAACUACGUG
rnacentral:rRNA from 1 species